rnacentral:pre_miRNA from 1 species
AAGCUUUCUCAUCUGUGACACUCGAGAUGGUUUCAGGGAGUGGACACUGGAGAGAGAGCUUUU